rnacentral:tRNA from 1 species
GCUGAGGUGGUCUAAUUAGACACCAGAUUUCGACUCGGGAGAACUUAAUACACUUAAGCCUCAGUA